rnacentral:tRNA from 1 species
GCCGGGGUGGUGAAACUGGUAGACACGCCAGACUCAAAAUCUGGUGGCCGUUAGGCCGUGCCGGUUCGAUUCCGGCCCUCGGUACCA